UGAAUGAAGACGGAAGCGGGAAGUGUGUAGUACGAUAAUGGAGGAUACACGUGCCGUUCUGCCGUCUCUGCCGAAACAUUCCUAUUGGUUUGAUUUCUGGAUGUUUCUGGUGUUUGAUGUAUUUUUUUUCUUAAUCAUGUACUUCGUCAUUCCCUGAGUGCGGUAGACCUGUUCACCUCUGGUCCAGCUCAGCAGGAGAGCCUGAAUCACUGCUAAAAUGGACUGGAACGGUAGCGACCGCUGGACUCAGUAUCGCCCCGUACUGAAACAAACAUUUCCCAUUUUACUCACCUGCUUUUCUGCAAACAGAUUGAAAUGCAUUUAAAUAACCUAAAAUUGUGAGGAAUCACUCAAAAUGUCAAGAUACACAUUCAUCUGUCUGGAUGUUUUAUACACAUUGGCCUGUAACAUAUGUGAAUAUUAGCCAUUAGAGUGUGUACAUAUGUAUGUAUGUAUGCAUGUA